rnacentral:rRNA from 1 species
AUACAUAGGGGGCGAGCGUUGUCCGGAAUGACUGGGCGUAAAGGGUGUGUAGGCGGUUUAUUAAGUUAGAAGUGUAAUACCCAGGGCUUAACUCGGGUGCUGCUACUAAAACUGGUGAACUUGAGUGUAGGAGAGGAUGAUGGAAUUCCUAGUGUAGCGGUGGAAUGCGCAGAUAUUAGGAGGAACACCAGAGGCGAAAGCGAUCAUCUGGACUACAACUGACGCUGAGGCACGAAAGCGUGGGGAGC